rnacentral:rRNA from 1 species
UUGACCUCAAAUCAGGUAGGAGUACCCGCUGAACUUAAGCAUAUCAAUAAGCGGAGGAAAAGAAACCAACAGGGAUUGCCUUAGUAACGGCGAGUGAAGCGGC